CUUCCUUUGGACCUCAUGUGUCAGAGGAAAGUUCUUGACCUCAUCAGUAGUGCUACUCCUGCUGAAGUUGUCAAGAUGGACCCUCCGUUGACAUGCUGGAACUUAUUUUUCUGGGAAACUCCACCUCCUCCCCACAUCAUGAUGCUGUGUUAGGUUCAUCACUCCACUUUGCUAAUACUGCUGCUGAUAACAUCUUAGCUUGGGGUUGCCUAUCUCUGUUUCUCACAGUAGCCAGC